CCUACGGGUGGCUGCAGUGAGGAAUAUUGGUCAAUGGGCGUAAGCCUGAACCAGCCAUCCCGCGUGAAGGAAGAAGGCGCUAUGCGUCGUCAACUUCUUUUCCAGAGGAAUAAAAUUUCGUACGUGUACGGAACUGAAGGUACUUUGGGAAUAAGCAUCGGCUAACUCCGUGCCAGCAGCCGCGGUAAUACGGAGGAUGCGGGCGUUAUCCGGAUUUAUGGGUGUUAAAGGGUGUGUAGAAGUCAUAAUAGAAAACCGUCAGCUUAACUGGAGAACUGCCAUUGAUACUGUUAGUCUUGAGUACGGUCAAGGUAGGCGGAAUGUGUAAUGUAGCGGUGAAAUGCUUAGAUAUUACACAGAACACCGAUUGCGAAGGCAGCUUACUGGGCCAUUACUGACGCUGAUGCACGAAAGCGUGGGGAGCGAACAGGAUUAGAUACCCCUGUAGUC
rnacentral:rRNA from 1 species